rnacentral:rRNA from 1 species
AGGGUUCGAUUCUGGCUCAGGAUGAACGCUGGCGGCGUGCUUAACACAUGCAAGUCGAACGGGAUCCAUCAAGCUUGCUUGGUGGUGAGAGUGGCGAACGGGUGAGUAAUGCGUGACCGACCUGCCCCAUACACCGGAAUAGCUCCUGGAAACGGGUGGUAAUGCCGGAUGCUCCGACUCCUCGCAUGGGGUGUCGGGAAAGAUUAUAUCGGUAUGGGAUGGGGUCGCGUCCUAUCAGGUAGUCGGCGGGGUAACGGCCCACCGAGCCUACGACGGGUAGCCGGCCUGAGAGGGCGACCGGCCACAUUGGGACUGAGAUACGGCCCAGACUCCUACGGGAGGCAGCAGUGGGGAAUAUUGCACAAUGGGCGCAAGCCUGAUGCAGCGACGCCGCGUGCGGGAUGACGGCCUUCGGGUUGUAAACCGCUUUUGAUCGGGAGCAAGCCUUCGGGUGAGUGUACCUUUCGAAUAAGCACCGGCUAACUACGUGCCAGCAGCCGCGGUAAUACGUAGGGUGCAAGCGUUAAUCGGAAUUACUGGGCGUAAAGCGUGCGCAGGCGGUUCUGUAAGAUAGAUGUGAAAUCCCCGGGCUCAACCUGGGAAUUGCAUAUAUGACUGCAGGACUUGAGUUUGUCAGAGGAGGGUGGAAUUCCACGUGUAGCAGUGAAAUGCGUAGAUAUGUGGAAGAACACCGAUGGCGAAGGCAGCCCUCUGGGACAUGACUGACGCUCAUGCACGAAAGCGUGGGGAGCAAACAGGAUUAGAUACCCUGGUAGUCCACGCCCUAAACGAUGUCUACUAGUUGUUGGGGACGAUAGUCCUUGGUAACGCAGCUAACGCGUGAAGUAGACCGCCUGGGGAGUACGGUCGCAAGAUUAAAACUCAAAGGAAUUGACGGGGACCCGCACAAGCGGUGGAUGAUGUGGAUUAAUUCGAUGCAACGCGAAAAACCUUACCUAGCCUUGACAUGCCAGGAAGGCCUGAGAGAUCAGGCCGUGCCCGCAAGGGAAUCUGGACACAGGUGCUGCAUGGCUGUCGUCAGCUCGUGUCGUGAGAUGUUGGGUUAAGUCCCGCAACGA